ensembl:snRNA U6 U6 spliceosomal RNA
GUGCUCGCGUCGGCAGCACAUAUACUAACGUUGGAACGAUACAGAGAAGAUUAGCAUGGCCCCUGGGCAAGGAUGACACACAAAUUCGUGAGACAUUCCAUAUAUCU